UAGUUUUAUUUUUUAUUUUAUUCUUUUAACAAUUACCUUUGUUUCUUUUAUCUAAUAAACCUUUUAAAUGCGACCCUUUGUCCCAACCGAAUCCUUUUUUAUAAUAGGUAUGUUAAUAUUUUAAUGUUUAAAAGUGUUCAUUUUGAUUUUUUAUUUUUUUUUUUGUAUAUUUUACAAGUAAUAUGCUACCAUAAAAACCAUGUAUACAAAAAAAUAUAAGGAGUAGGGGUUUUUGAGAAUAUCUCGGGUUGCAGGUCGUGAAUAUGUAGAGACAGCCGGAGACAUCUGCCAGACAACGAAUAUUCCGAUGACGAAAUAUUCGCCUCCGACGGUUAAGUUAGUAACUGAAAAACAAAAGAUAUUUAGAGAGUGAAAGUAGAAAGAAGUUAGAGCACUUUGUAUAUGCCUUUUUAUGAUAUCUCAAUCUAGCUAUCUAAUCAUUAGGGUGGGAAUGUGUGCAUUCUAAGGUUUGGUACCCCAUUCAGGUAAGGACAGGUGUCCUUUGGGGGCGCCGUUUUAGUGCUUUUCUCGGGAAUUAGGCCUCCUAAUGUAAUGGAUUAAUGAAGGCCUUUUUCCUAUUCAGGUACUCUCAUAUUGCCACUUGUCAUCUCCCUAUUAGGACACGUGUUUCCCUUUUAUUAGUCCACGUGUCACCAUAGGAUUGGAACAUGUGGUAGGUAUAUAUUUACCCUAAACAUUUUUCCGGUAAAGGGGGGUUGGCUGAAACCAUUUGGGCUGCCUCUUCUGAAAUUUCAUUCGUACACUAAUGUUGGACGGCACUCCAAUUGAUCCCCUAGUCCCCAUGAAUCCGGAUGAUACGGACGUGGACUUCAGUGGGAGCACCUACUCGAUAAUGGAGAUCACCAUGGGCCAGCAAAGGUAAACUAUUGUCAAGAACCAAGGAAUCCUACUAAUUGGGAGGAAAAACAUUUCUUUCCAUCAAGACUUUGUGGGUUAUAUAUGCUCUCGAGCCUUAAACAAAUGAUGCUACUGAAAAGAAUGAAGACGUAUGGACAUUCCUUAAUGAGGGGGUUGUCGUAACAUUUUGUACAAAAAUGGAGUUUUGUAGAAGUUUUUGUGUAGUGUUUUAGAUGGUAAAAUCAAAAUUAUUGAAUGUAAGUUUGUUAGUUGACUUGGUUUAUUAUUAAUAACACUAUGUCAAUUUUUUUUUUGGACUAUUAACAUGUAGUAGCGGAUAAA